UAAUAAGACUUCAGUUCUUUUUAUGACUAUUCAUUCUAAUGUGUGGGAGCCUACUCAAACUAUAUCUUUAUCGAGUUAUGGAUGGUUUAUGACAUUUAUUGAUUAUUGCAGUAAGUUAACUUGGAUAUAUUUAAUAAAAGGGAAAAAUAAAGUUUUUCCUUGUUUUCAGCAGUUCCACAAAAUGAUUAGUACCCAGUUUGAUGCUCAUGUUAAA
rnacentral:misc_RNA from 1 species